UACCUACGGGAGGCAGCAGUAGGGAAUCUUCCACAAUGGACGAAAGUCUGAUGGAGCAACGCCGCGUGAGUGAAGAAGGGUUUCGGCUCGUAAAGCUCUGUUGGCAGUGAAGAAAGAUAGAGGUAGUAACUGGCCUUUAUUUGACGGUAAUUACUUAGAAAGUCACGGCUAACUACGUGCCAGCAGCCGCGGCAAUACGUAGGUGGCAAGCGUUGUCCGGAUUUAUUGGGCGUAAAGCGAGUGAAGGCGGUUCAAAAA
rnacentral:rRNA from 1 species